rnacentral:rRNA from 1 species
UGCUCUUUUAAAUUUAGUGGCGCACGGGUGAGUAAUAUAUAGCUAAUCUGCCCCUUGCUGGAGGACAACAGUUAGAAAUGACUGCUAAUACUCCAUACUCCUUUUUACCAUAAGAUAAAUCGGGAAAGAAUUUCGGCAAGGGAUGAGACUAUAUCGUAUCAGCUAGUCGGUGGGGUAACGGCCUACCGAGGCUAUGACGCGUAACUGGUCUGAGAGGAUGAUCAGUCACAUUGGAACUGAGACACGGUCCAAACUCCUACGGGAGGCAGCAGUAGGGAAUAUUGCGCAAUGGGGGAAACCCUGACGCAGCGACGCCGCGUGGAGGAUGACACUUUUCGGAGCGUAAACUCCUUUUGUUAGGGAAGAAUAAUGACGGUACCUAACGAAUAAGCACCGGCUAACUCCGUGCCAGCAGCCGCGGUAAUACGGAGGGUGCAAGCGUUACUCGGAAUCACUGGGCGUAAAGGACGCGUAGGCGGAUUAUCAAGUCUCUUGUGAAAUCUAACGGCUUAACCGUUAAACUGCUUGGGAAACUGAUAAUCUAGAGUAAGGGAGAGGCAGAUGGAAUUCUUGGUGUAGGGGUAAAAUCCGUAGAUAUCAAGAAGAAUACCUAUUGCGAAGGC